AACGAACGCUGGCGGCGUGCUUAACACAUGCAAGUCGAACGUGAUUGAGAGCGUGCUCUCAUGAAAGUGGCGCACGGGUGAGUAACACGUGGAUAAUCUGCCUGGCGAUUCGGGAUAACACUUCGAAAGGGGUGCUAAUACCGGAUAAGCCCACAGCCUCUUCGGGGGGUGCGGGAAAAGGGGGCCUCUGUAUAUGCUCCUGUCGCUAGAUGAGUCCGCGGCCCAUUAGCUAGUUGGUAGGGUAAUGGCCUACCAAGGCGACGAUGGGUAGCUGGUCUGAGAGGAUGAUCAGCCACACUGGAACUGAGACACAGUCCAGACUCCUACGGGAGGCAGCAGUGGGGAAUUUUGCGCAGUGGGCGAAAGCCUGACGCAGCAACGCCGCGUGAGCGAUGAAGGCCUUCGGGUCGUAAAGCUCUGUCAGAGGGGAAGAACCGCCGGGUGGCUAAUACCUGUCUGGUCUGACGGUACCCUCAAAGGAAGCACCGGCUAACUCCGUGCCAGCCGCCGCAGUAA
rnacentral:rRNA from 1 species